UACGGGGGGGGAAAGCGUUGUUCGGAAUUACUGGGCGUAAAGGGCUCGUAGGCGGCCAACUAAGUCGGAUGUGAAAUCCCCAGGCUCAACUUGGGAACUGCAUCCGAUACUGGAUGGCUUGAAUUCGGGAGAGGGAUGCAGAAUUCCAGGUGUAGCGGUGAAAUGCGUAGAUAUCUGGAGGAAUACCGGUGGCGAAGGCGGCAUCCUGGACCGACAUUGACGCUGAGGAGCGAAAGCUAGGGGAGCAAACGGG
rnacentral:rRNA from 1 species